UACGGGGGGGAGCAAGCGUUGUUCGGAUUUACUGGGCGUAAAGGGCGCGUAGGCGGUCAGCACAAGUCAGUUGUGAAAUCUCCGGGCUUAACUCGGAAAGGUCAACUGAUACUGUGCGACUAGAGUGCAGAAGGGGCAACUGGAAUUCUCGGUGUAGCGGUGAAAUGCGUAGAUAUCGAGAGGAACACCUGCGGCGAAGGCGGGUUGCUGGGCUGACACUGACGCUGAUGCGCGAAAGCUAGGGGAGCGAACGGG
rnacentral:rRNA from 1 species